rnacentral:rRNA from 1 species
CCUACAGGUGGCAGCAGUGAGGAAUAUUGGUCAAUGGCCGAGAGGCUGAACCAGCCAAGUCGCGUGAGGGAAGAAUGUCCUAUGGAUUGUAAACCUCUUUUGUCAGGGAGCAAAGUCACCCACGUGUGGGUGUUGGAGAGUACCUGAAGAAAAAGCAUCGGCUAACUCCGUGCCAGCAGCCGCGGUAAUACGGAGGAUGCGAGCGUUAUCCGGAUUUAUUGGGUUUAAAGGGUGCGCAGGCGGCCUGUUAAGUCAGCGGUAAAAGCCCGGGGCUCAACCCCGGCGAGCCGUUGAAACUGGCGGGCUGGAGUUGGAGAGAAGUAUGCGGAAUGCGUGGUGUAGCGGUGAAAUGCAUAGAUAUCACGCAGAGCCCCGAUUGCGAAGGCAGCAUGCCGGCUUCCGACUGACGCUGAAGCACGAAAGCGUGGGGAUCGAACAGGAUUAGAUACCCUUGUAGUC